UAGGUGGCAAGCGUUGUCCGGAUUUAUUGGGCGUAAAGCGAGAGCAGGCGGUUCUUUAAGUCUGAUGUGAAAGCCCACGGCUCAACCGUGGAGGGUCAUUGGAAACUGAAGAACUUGAGUGCAGAAGGGGAGAGUGGAAUUCCAUGUGUAGCGGUGGAAUGCGUAGAUAUAUGGAGGAACACCAGUGGCGAAGGCGACUCUCUGGUCUGUAACUGACGCUGAGUCUCGAAAGCGUGGGGAGCA
rnacentral:rRNA from 1 species